AUCAUUCACCUAUCACUUCCUAUUCCUAUUGACCUCUUCCCUCUCCGUUCUUCGCACUUGCUUUUCUUCAUCACGAAUUCCAGUUCCUUUUGUCUCUAUAUCUUCUCUGCUUCUGAACUUUUACCAUGUCAAUUUUGUUUCUUUCUCUACUUCAUUAAGCAUUUCAUUCACGCCCCCAUUCCCCCUUGUUGUUCUGUCUUUGUAGGACCUGAAGGCUGUAAGCUUCGUCGAGGAAUUGAUUAGAUUCAGGUGACCAGGAUAUGGGUCGGGCAACGCGGUGGCUGUGGAAGCUGUGGGGUGGUAACAAGGAGAAACAGGAGCGGAAGGACUCUUCCGGUUACGGCGGCGAGGAGAGGAUGGAGAAGAAAAGGAGGAGCUUUUGGAAGUCAAGGAACUCCAGCGACGCAGUGUUGGGGCAGAAUGCAUCCACGGCGGCCGCCAUGGAGGCAGCGUGGUUCAGGUCCUUCUACGCCGUAAGCGAGAGGGAACAGAGCAAGCAUGCCAUCGCCGUGGCGACGGCCACGGCUGCUGCGGCCGACGCGGCGGUCGCAGCUGCGCAGGCAGCGGUAGCGGCCGUGCGUCUCACUGGCCAGAGAAGGGGCAGCUGCGCCGAGGAGUGGCUGGCGGCAGUGAAGAUCCAAGCAGCAUACAGGGGUCACUUGGCAAGGAAAGCACUGCGAGCUCUGAGAGCAUUGGUGAAAACACAAGCUUUGGUUAAAGGGUUCCUCGUUCGUAAGCGAGCCGCCGCAACUUUUCGCAGCAUGCAAGCCCUGGUAAGAGCUCAGGCCACUGUUCGAGCUCAUCAAAGAUCUGGCUGCCUUUCCCGUGGUGAUGGAAAUCCUCAACCAGAAGUCCGCCAUCGCAGAUCAUUCGAGCGGUUCGGCGAUACUCGAAGCGAGCACAUAUCAGGGUUCUCAAGACGGAGAAGCUCAACAAGUCUUGCUGGUGCUACCAUCGACGGGAGCCCAAAGAUCGUGGAGAUCGAUACGUGCCAACCGAUCAAGUCGAGAUCUUUUCGUCGAACCAGUGCCUCUGCUUUGGAUCCAGCGCACGACUUGCCACUGCAUGCGUUCUCCUCUCCGAUUGUGUACCAAGUUCCAGCACGGAUCUCCAUUCCCGGCCGCGGGAACUUGCUCGAGGACGACCGGUGCAUCAAUGGCGAGAAAUGCUGGCUCUCAGCCACCGCACACGGCACGCCCAGACACACAAACUCAUCCGGCAACAUGGCCGUGACUCCAGCAAAGAGCGCGUGGGAUGCCGAGGGAGUUCUCGGGCAACAUGUGAACCAAUGGAGCUCCUCAAACUAUAUCGCAAACGCGCAGUCAUCCAAGGCAAGACUGCGGCCUCGAUGUGCAUCGAAGCACCAAUAAAGAGGCAACCUCUGGGCGGAGCGAAUUUAGUUGGUGUUGGACUGCACGAGUCCUGCUUCCAAGUUCGAGAUGAUUUCAACUUGAAUAGAGCGGAGGACCGGCAGGUUGUCAGGAAGCAGAGCGGGAAGUCCGUUUGCAGAGGAGGAGGUAACGCAAUGGAGUAAGCACCAAUAAAUCUCUGAAUAAGAGGGAGGAACAUGGAGAUCAUCUCUUCUUCCUGUUUGUGUUUCUUCUAUCAUGGACCGUGUUCCAUGUUCUUUGCAUCAAGGCUAACACCUGACGACCUCCUUUUUCUUCAACUGGGAUCUAAUAAUUUACUAAACGAAACAUA